rnacentral:rRNA from 1 species
GACGAACGCUGGCGGCGUGCCUAAUACAUGCAAGUAGGACGCACAGUUUAUUCCGUAGCUUGCUACACCAUAGACUGUGAGUUGCGAACGGGUGAGUAACGCGUAGGUAACCUACCUAUUAGAGGGGGAUAACUAUUGGAAACGAUAGCUAAUACCGCAUAACAGUAUGUAACACAUGUUAGAUGCUUGAAAGAUGCAAUUGCAUCGCUAGUAGAUGGACCUGCGUUGUAUUAGCUAGUAGGUAGGGUAAAGGCCUACCUAGGCAACGAUACAUAGCCGACCUGAGAGGGUGAUCGGCCACACUGGGACUGAGACACGGCCCAGACUCCUGCGGGGGGCAGCAGUUGGGAAUCUUCGGCAAUGGGGGGAACCCUGACCGAGCAACGCCGCGUGAGUGAAGAAGGUUUUCGGAUCGUAAAGCUCUGUUGUUAAGGAAGAACGAGUGUGAGAAUGGAAAGUUCAUGCUGUGACGGUACU